rnacentral:ncRNA from 1 species
AGAACUGUUUGAGAGAUGAAGGGAAUGAUGGAGUAACGACCUGAAACCUUCGCGUUGAGCUCCGAUUAGCGACUAGCAGGCUAUUGUUAGUGGUUAAAAGCUCGGUAAAGUCGGCAGAAUGCUACCUAAAUUUGAAAGAAGAAUGAGUAAAGUUGGUUCAAAAGUGGCUAGAGCCCGCCUGCUGGAAAAUUCUUUGAGUAAAACAUGGUAUCAGAUAUGCCGGACGUC